CCAUCUCCCGAGCCGCACGCUUCUCGAUUUUGGAGAGCGGACGCCGCGGAGACUCCCAGGCGACGGCGUCAGAACUUGGCCCAUGUUACUUCGCCUGCAGAUUGAGAGGAUGGGUAGCCUUAGGGGUUGGUUGUUAUCUUUGGUUAUCUAGCUGUAUGAGUGAUGUACAUUCUUCAUAAAGCUAGAUAACCGAAAGUAACAAGAAUCCCAUUACACUCCUGAAAAGGCAUCAAGACCCCAAAUGCGCCUCCCUACAAGAAAAUGCAAACUUUGCCAGAAGAAUUGUAACAUGAGAGAAGAAAAUGGACUACAUUUUAAAGAAGACGGGAAUGCGAUGCAACAAAAGGCUACCACAUUACUGAAGGAAAGCUGGCAAAAGAAGACUGAAAAACAGAGAAGGAGGAGGGGUUGUUGUUGAUUCUGCCCUCCCUCUCUCCUCGCCCUCCACUGCAUUGCCUCUUCCCUCCUCCUCUUCCCUUCCUCAUCCACUCCAUCCUCAGCAGACUGCCCCUUUUUCCUGUACAGCGAAACGCAGCCCGCGCCACCAUCUUAGAGCAACGCUGGCAUGAAAUGGAAGUGGGAAGACCAGUCAGUGCAGGAGGCGUUCAGUGGGCAUCUGUCCUCGAAGCGCAAGUUUUUCUUUCCCGUUUGGGAAUUCUGAUGCCAUCCUCACAUGCCUGCCCCGACAUGGCGGCGCCUGCCAUUUUGGAGCUACGAUGCAAUCCGUGCCUUCUGGACGACAGACAAGCACAGCUGAUUACUCCAUAAAUAAAUGUGAUUGGUGCAGGGGGAUCCAGAAUGGACAGAGCACACAAAAGGAGGACGGUGGGACUCCUCCUUCAUUCGCUGCCUUUUAGCUGGAGUAAACACGGAGGAUGGCGAUGCUGUCUGCAUGCGAGCCGGCAGUGAUUCCUGCCAUAACUGUGGAACGCUGUGUAUGUCUCCUUGAUGCAUCGCUCGAACCAACACUCAGCCUGGACUGCUUGUGAAUGACUUUUGGUGUUUUAACUGAGCAAACAUCAUGGACUCCAAUCAUGGAAACCUGUGGGACUCGUUGGAAAAUAAGCAGCCCGAAGGCUGGAGGAACUGCUUGAUAAUUGUGACUCUUAAUUCUUUUAUUUGUAGAUGUGGCACUGAAUUUUGUAAUUAUUAUCCUAUAUUUGAUUGUAAAAAAAUAUUGUUUAGACAUGAAGGAAUAUAAUCUGUCCUCAGCUGUCAUAGGCUCCACUUAAUGUAGGUUGUAUUUGAUGAUUUGUAGCCCAUAUUUUGCUCAUUUUCUCUUUUGUUAUAGUUGCUAGGACUCAAAAGACAUGUGAAUGUGAGACCCACGGCAGCAGUGAAUAAUACUGCACUGCGAUUGGACAGCUCCGUGUGUCAGCUGACACAAUGGCGAAGGAGUGAGCUGUCGUCUUUAUACUCUAUGCAACUGUUCUCUUUUUUUCCUUUCUUUAUUGUUUAGGGGAAAAAAACCUUUUCAUAUUUAUUUUGGAUUAUGUUUUGAGCCAUCAGUUUACAGAAAUUCCUUCAGACAUCAUCAAGAGAAAUGGUUUAUGAGGUGCUGACGUUCCAGUUAUUAAUAUAGUGAAACAGAAAUUACAGUCAGGAUGUGUGUGUGAGUGUGUGACAGAUGACAGGAUACAGCAUUUUCAUCAGUGGAUGGAUUGAAUCUCAUAUUUGCAGCUUUCGACUGUGCAGCCAUGAGCCAGAGUCUGAGUAAAUGUGGACUCAAGCAUUUAAUAUUCCUGAUGGUUGGAGUGUGUUUGAUCAGCAGGAAGUAGCUCUGCGUGUAUACAGAACAUGCCACACUAUUAAAAGCUGCUCCCUAUAGCAGUCGUUGAGGCACAGCAGUUUGGCACAUAAUAGUUACCUGCUUUAGUGUAAUGAUACAUCUUUGGGUGAGACAUGACAAAUACAUUGGCUUCAAACACUGCCUUAAUUUCCUGUUCUUGACAUUAACACACAGCGACACACACGCCCGCACACACACAUGCACCCAAAUGCAAUAAGGCAAGUACUAUCAGGGCCUAAUUCAUUCUAUAUUAAUUUUCGGGAAGUGGCAAAUUUUUUAUUACGAUUGAUAAUCUAUGCAAAUCUUUUAAAUAUUACUUUAGACAAUCUAUGUCUAUGCAGCGCUUUUGCAAUUGAUUCAAGGGAGACUAUCUUGGCCUAAUUUAGAAAAUGUAUUCUUUUGAUAAUCAUGCACAUCCCAGUGCUCAAGACAAUUACUUAUCUGCCUGGAUAAGCUUGAAAUUAUGUUUUUAAUCUCUAGCAAAAAAAAGUCACUCUUCUGAAAUCAGUCCAGAGGCUUGAAAACCAUGAAUUGUGGUCUAAAAUAAUUAAAUCAGUUGCACUAAAUCUCCCUUUUCCUUAAAUGUAGAUCAAAUAUAUCUAUUUAGCUUUGAAUAGCAUACUGUUUAUAUAAGCAACAAUGUUUGUAUUAUGCAAUCUCAUCUUUGUGAAUGAGUGUUCACCACACGUGCCUUUGUAUGGAAAACUGUUGAAAUAGUAAUAAAGGUUUACAAUGAAAA
ensembl:lncRNA